rnacentral:rRNA from 1 species
AACUCAAAGGAAGUUGACGGGGGCCCGCACAAGCGGUGGAGCACGUGGUUUAAUUCGAUGAUACGCGAGGAACCUUACCAGGGCUUGACAUACGCUGGAAUGGGCGGGAGACCGUUCAGCCUUUCGGGGCCGGCGUACAGGUGCUGCAUGGCUGUCGUCAGCUCGUGCUGUGAAGUGUUGGGUUAAGUCCCGCAACGAGCGCAACCCUUGCCUUUAGUUGCCAGCAGUUCGGCUGGGCACUCUAAAGGGACUGCCGGUGUUAAACCGGAGGAAGGUGGGGAUGACGUCAAGUCCUCAUGGCCUUUAUGACCAGGGCUACACACGUACUACAAUGGCCGAUACAAAGGGCAGCGACACUGCGAGGUGAAGCCAAUCCCGUAAAAUCGGUCUCAGUCCGGAUUGGAGUCUGCAACUCGACUCCAUGAAGUUGGAAUCGCUAGUAAUCGUGGAUCAGCAUGCCACGGUGAAUACGUUCCCGGGCCUU